rnacentral:rRNA from 1 species
CUGCGUGAUUUAGUGUGAAUUGCAGGACACAUUGAGCAUCGACGAUCUGAACGCGAAUUGCGGCCUCGGGUUAAUCCCGGGACCGCGCCCGCCUCAGGGUCG